GACGAACGCUGGCGGCGUGCCUAAUACAUGCAAGCUGAGCGCUGAAGGUUGGUACUUGUCCCAACUGGAUGAGCAGCGAACGGGUGAGUAACGCGUGGGGAAUCUGCCUUUGAGCGGGGGACAACAUUGGGAAACGAAUGCUAAUACCGCAUAAAAACUUUAAACACAAGUUUUAUGUUUGAAAGAUGCAAUUGCAUCACUCAAAGAUGAUCCCGCGUUGUAUUAGCUAGUUGGUGAGGUAAAGGCUCACCAAGGCGAUGAUACAUAGCCGACCUGAGAGGGGGGUCCGCCCCAUUGGGACCGGGACCCGGCCCCAGCCCCUUCGGGAGGCAGCAGUAGGGGAUCUUCGGCCAUGGACGAAAGUCUGACCGGGCCACGCCGCGUGAGUGAAGAAGGUUUUCGGAUCGUAAAACUCUGUUGGUAGAGAAAAACGUUGGUGAGAGUGGAAAGCUCAUCAAGUGACGGUAACUACCCAGAAAGCGACGGCUAACUACGUG
rnacentral:rRNA from 1 species